GACGAACGCUGGCGGCGUGCCUAACACAUGCAAGUCGUACGGGACGGGGGGCAACUCCCGUUCAGUGGCAGACGGGUGCGUAACGCGUGAGGAACUUGUCCAUCGGCGGGGGAUAGCCGGCCCAACGGCCGGGUAAUACCGCGUACGAUCGUUCGGGGGCAUCCCUGGGCGAUGAAAGCAGCCGCAAGGUUGCGCCGGUGGAGAGUCUCGCGGCCUAUCAGCUCGUUGGCGGGGUAACGGCCCACCAAGGCGACGACGGGUAGCUGGUCUGAGAGGAUGAUCAGCCACAUUGGGACUGAGACACGGCCCAGACUCCUACGGGAGGCAGCAGUGGGGAAUAUUGCGCAAUGGCCGCAAGGCUGACGCAGCGACGCCGCGUGUGGGAUGACGGCCUUCGGGUUGUAAACCACUGUCGGGGGGACGAA
rnacentral:rRNA from 1 species